rnacentral:rRNA from 1 species
AGUAGAAACUUGCAAAUUGUGGAUCUUGUCGUGGUAUGCUGGGUAAUCUGGAAAUUAAGAAAUUGUGCUUGUUUCAAGAAAAAAUUGAGUUGAUCUCCUAUUGAGUUUAUAUGAUAUGCAUGCUCUUUUAUGCAGUACUGGGCAGGUUUAUAGAAUGAAGAGGAGCGAUCUGGUCUGGAGCAUGGAGCCGCAACCCUAAAUCUGCAUGAUGAAGGCAAUGCUGAAGGCAGGAUGGAUGUGUGUAUGCAAGAAGCUAGAAAGGACGGGGAGAACAAAGAUGAAGGAAAUGACGACGACGACGACGAUGAUGAUGAUGCUAUGGAAGAAGGAGGUUGA